CUAGUUUUAUUCGCUUGCAUUAGCUUUGGUUGACACACGUGUUAGUGAGAUAUCUGUGUUUUUACAAUAACUCUGUGUAACUCUUUCAUUAAUUUUCAGUGCAAAUAGUUCGUUUUUAUGGUUUUUAGGUUUUGCUAACAUAAUUCGGUUACGGUUAUGGGUUAAGAGAGAAUCCACUACUAUUAUGCCUUCAAAUUAAAUUAAGCCUGUAAUCUCGACCGCACCGAUCAAUCUCCAUCGUGUCUUCUCCAUCGCACGUGACAUUGGCGAAAUAAUCUGUGCACUCUUGGCACAAAUAAAAGCCAAAACUAAAAAAAAAAAAAGACAA